rnacentral:rRNA from 1 species
GAUGAACGCUGGCGGCGUGCCUAAUACAUGCAAGUCGAGCGAACAGACGAGGAGCUUUCUCCUCUGACGUUAGCGUCGGACGGGUGAGUAAAACGUGGAUAACCUACCUAUAAGACUGGGAUAACUUCGGGAAACCGGAGCUAAUACCGGAUAAUAUAUUUAACCGCAUGGUUCAAUAGUGAAAGACGGUUUUGCUGUCACUUAUAGAUGGAUCCGCGCCGCAUUAGCUAGUUGGUAAGGUAACGGCUUACCAAGGCGACGAUGCGUAGCCGACCUGAUAGGGUGAUCGGCAACACUGGAACUGAGCCACGGUCAAGACUCCUACGGGAGGAAGCAGUAGGGAAUCUUCGGCAAUGGGCGAAAGCCUGCCGGAGCAACGCCGCGUGAGUGAUGAAGGUCUUCGGAUCGUAAAACUCUGUUAUUAGGGAAGAACAAAUGUGUAAGUAAAUAUGCACGUCUUGACGGUACCUAAUCAGAAAGCCACGGCUAACUACGUG